UGCGACCAAAAUGGUUUCUUAGAUUAUGGUCCAUUAGGUGCAAACUGUGCACCUAUCUUGCACCAAAACUAACAAUGUCUCGAAAUGGACCGAAGCGAGAUUCCAUAUGUCACACAUCAUCAAGGAGGUCCAUCGGGUGCAUCCAAAUUGAUUUCCAAGCAUAUGGUAUGUUCCAUGUAAACCAUGCACCUACCUUGCAUAAGGUUUAGCACUAUCUCCAGACUGACUGAACCGAGCUUACACUUGAGCCUCUUCAUCCAAGAGUACCAAAUAGUGCGUCCAAAAUGGUUUCUUAGACUAUGGUGCAUUAGGCGCAAACUGUGCACCUAUCUUGCACUAAAACUUACAAUGUCUACCAACGGACCAAAGCAAGAUUCCAUAUGACACACGUCAUCUAGGAGUUCCAUUGGGUGCGUCCAAAUUGAUUUCAUAACAUAUGGUACGUUCCAUGCAAACUGUGCAACUAUCUUGCAUCAAGAUUAGCACUAUCUCCAAACAGAUCAAACCGAGCUUUCACUUGAGCCUCUUCACCAAAGUACCAACAGGUGCUUCCAAAAUGGUUUCUUAGACUAUGGUGCAUUAGGCGCAAACCAUGCACAUAUCUUGCACCGACACUAACACUGUUUCUAAACAGACAAAAGCGAGAUUCCAUAUGACACACGUCAUCGUGGAGUUCCAUCAGGUGCAUCGAAAUUGAUUUCCAAGCAUAUGGUAUGUUCCAUGCAAACCGUGCACCUAUCUUGCAUCAAGAUUAGCACUAUCUCCAAACAGACCGAACCGAGCUUCCACUUGAGCCUCUUCAUCUAGGAGUACAAACAGGUGCGUCAAAAAUGGUUUCUUAGACUAUGGUGCAUUAGGCACAAACUAUGCACCUAUCUUGCACCAGAACUAACAUUGUCUUCAUCUAGGAGUUGCAUUGGGUGUGUCCAAAGUUGAUAUCAAAACAUAUGGUACGUUCCAUGCAAACUGUGCAACUAUCUUGCAUCAAGAUUAGCACUAUAUCCGAACAGACCAAAUCGAGCCUCCACUUGAGCCUCUUCAACUACGAGUACCAUCGAGUGCAUCUAAAAUGGUUUCUUAGCCUAUGGUGCAUUAGGCGUAAACCGUGCACAUAUCUUCUACCAAAACUAACACUGUCUCUAAACAAACCGAAGCAAGAUUCCAUAUGACACACAUCAUCAAGGAGUUAUAUCAAGUGCGUCCUAAUUGAUUUCUGACCAUAUCGUAUGUUCCAUGCAAACCGUGCAUCUAUCUUGCAUCAAGAUUAGCACUAUCUCCAAACAGACCAAACCGAGCUUUCACUUGAGCACCUUGACCUAGGAGUACCAUCGGGUGCAUCCAAAAUGGUUUUUUAUCCUUUGGUGCAUUAGGUGCAAACAGUGCACCUAUCUUGCACCGAAACUAACACUGUCUCUAAACGGACUGAAGUGAGAUUCCAUAUGACACAUCUCAUCUAGGAGUUCCAUCUCGUGCGUCCAAAUUGAUUUCUGCAUAUGGUGCACCUAUCUUGCAUCAAGAUUAGCACUAUCUCUAAACAGACCGAAAUAAGCCUCCACUUGAGCCUCUUCACCUAGGAGUACCAAUAGGUGCUUCCAAAAUGGUUUCUUAGACUUUGGUGC
rnacentral:lncRNA from 1 species